UUCCCGGGACAUGACAUCAAGCCACAAGAAAGAGGACUCAGUCCCCUGGAGGACGCGUCACCUCCAGGCCCAUCGCUCCUGGAGAAUUAUCUUUUCUGAGAUGAGAGCCGUGAGCUUUUGGUGGUGCAUAACUGCAUCCAGACUUCAUUCACAGGGAGGCUACACUCGCUGAGGCUUAAUGUAAGCGGACCCAGUUUUCACCGGGGGCUCCAACUGAUGUGGACAACGUAUUUUACAGGCCAUAGAGAUAGCUCGUCAGAAGAGAGCCUGCUGCACAAGCGUAGGGCCUGAGUGUGGAUCACCAACAUCCACGUAGGAAGCUGGGUCCUGAAUCAUGUGACUGUCAUCACAGUGCUGUGGAACAUUGGAGACAGAAGGAUCCAGAGGGCUUGCUAUCCAGGGCUAGUCACCGUCCACUAAAAUCAGUGAGCUCCAAGUUCAAUGAUAGACCCUGCAUCAAAAACUAGGUGGAGAGUCACUGAGGAAAACCUCUAAUGCUGACCUCUGGCCUCUACAUUUGGGUGUAUACAUGUAGGCACACAUACACACACACGUACACACACACACACACACACAAAAGCAAGAUGUGCUUUAAAAGCCAACAACAAAAGCAAACGUCAAACCCAUUCUGGGCUGCAUCCUGGCCUUGGCCUUAAAAUAGCUCUAAGUCCGUGAGGACAGUGUGUGCGCACAGCCAGGAUUUCCUGAGACCCUCCUUUUCCUCUUUGCCUUGGUGCCGGUUCCCCACCCCAACCCAUUUGUAUCUGUGGGAAUGUUCUAGAAGGUAGUAUCAUUCAGGCUCCAGAUAGACACAAGUUCAGACUCCAGCCCAGCCACGACUUUCUCUGCAGAUGCCGGGCAGUCACUCCAGCACCAGGAUUCUGUCUGUGAUACCUGUGAAGGUAUGAAAAGUCCUGGCAAGGUGAUUGGGUGACAGAGAGAUGGAGGAGAGCCCUUCCCCAAGGCUGGAUAGAGGACCCUAGUCCCUUUGUCUGUGCACUGCCUUCCUCCCAGGCCCCAUUCCCACUACUUGGAGCUCUCCCUAUGAGCCAGACAAGCUGGUCCCUCUAGAACUUCUUUGUCUACCUACCUGAAAAGCACUGACCAGAUUUGGCUCUCAACUGGUGACAUUUGUCCAGACACAGUGGCUCAGAGACACUUUGGGACAGCUUGAGCCCAACAUCUGUCACUAGGCCAGAGACACCCAAGACCAUGAGCUUGCUUAGGGUGCCAUAAACUGUCCAACUCCCGAAGGGGACCAAUGGCUGUCACCUGGGCAGCAGCAGUCGGGGCCCAUGCGAGAAGAUUUUUGCUUUGAACUUAAGUCAUGCUAUUGUCCAGGUGACUGGUUAGCCAAUCUGUGUACCCACUGCCUCUGCAGGCCCCCAACAAGCAGGAGGUAUGCUUGGGGCUAAAUGCAGAGCCCACAGUCUCCCUCCCUCUCUCCUGCCGCUGGAGCAGACACAGGGUGGCCAGCGCCAGGGUCCAGAGAUGAGGAUUCCACUCCUCUCUGCUCAUGGCUCACAUUUAGCCCAGUGUGAGUCCUUCCCCAGCUGCACACUGGCUCAACGGCUGUAAUGAGCUGGCCUCCCUGUACCCUAAAGGAUGGUUCCGAGGGCAAGGAGGGAAUGAACACACAGCUUGGGGAAUGGUUAGUUUUGUGCCUGGAUGGCACCACUAACUGUUUCACAAAGCCCAUGAGAAAUGGUGAAGGUUAAAGUUCUGUAUAUGUGAAGAUGAGGACCGAAGAUGUGGCAGGAAAUAGCUCCCCACACCCCCGUGUGGCGUUCAGUCCUAGUCUGCAUCACUGCCUCUCCCCCAUGCCCAGAGGACAUUGAGGCGGGUACUCAAGCAGGGAGGAGCAACAUGCUCCAGGAGCAGGUUCCACAUGGCUAGGGAUCCCCCAUAGGGCUCCACAUGGCUAGGGCUCCUCAUAGGGCAAGUCAGUCAGGGGCCUGGAUCCUGCUGGAAGCUUCCAAUAGUGAAUGUCAGAGAUGGACGGCCCCUCUGAAGUUUAUUCUGAUCAUGACCAGGUCUGCUCUGUCUCCCUGUUCCCGGAUGUGGCCUUGUUUUCUUAUGUAACCCAGUCUUGCUGUUUUCCCUGGCACCUGGGCUACCACAUUGGUAGCUGAGGUUACCGCUCUCUAGGAGGGCAGGUGGAGGGGGCAAGCAGCAUAUGGCCAUUGGCUAUGGCCCUCCCUCCAGGAGCCAACUUGGAGCAGCCCAUUUCCUGCGCCACUCUGGCUUUGCUGGCUGAAAACUGAGCACUUCCUGGGUAAAAAGCCUGGAUAACGUCAAACUGAUCCCUAACCCUGAGGACGGAGCAGACUCCCCUCCUGCUUAGUUGUGCAUGCUAGAUAAUAACUCAUAGGCUCAAACAGUGAUCAGUCUUGAGCCCUCUGCCUGGUCCCCUGCCCCCUUCCCUCCCUCUCCUCCUACAGAGAAACACUAGAUAAUAACUCAUAGGCUCAAACAGUGAUCAGUCUCGAGCCCUCUGCCUGGUCCCCUGCCCCCUUCCCUCCCUCUCUUCCUACAGAGAACCGCUUGUUUAGUUCCCAUAUUGCCUUCCAGUUAUUUCUUUAUGUAAAUUCAAACAUGUGUUUUUGUUUCGCCACGUCCCUGAGAUACACAAAGGGUUGAAUGUGGUGUUUCCCAUGUCUGCAGGGGGCUGGGAAGAGGCAACUGGCAGCUGGAGCUGGCAAGAAAGGAUUGUUAGCCAGCAUAGGGAGCAGGGAGAUGCAGUCUCCCAGAGUGAGGACAAGAGGGGAGCCGGGGAGAAGAGAGGAGGAGGAGGACAGAGGGCCUGCUCCUGCAUAGCAGGGGUCUCAGGGGGAAAACAGCCCCUCAGACAUGCUAACCCUCAGGCAAUGACCUCUCAGAAGUCCCAGGGUAAGGAGGCCUGUGGAGUCGACAAGUCAGCCGAACAGACCUAGAGCAGUCUACAACCACUAUGGAAAUCAGCAUUGCUGUUUCUCCUAAGACAAGAAAGAGAGCUACCGUGUGACCACCCCAGGUGUGGUCCCCACAGGAAUCUAGAUCAGCACACCCAAGGACUGAACAACAGCCAGGAAAUGAACCAGCCCAGAUGUCUGUCAUCAGAUGGACGAAUACAGAAAGCACGGCACGCGGGCACAAUUGUGAUGGACGGAAACACGUAUCAUCAUGCUAAGUGUAAGAAGCCAGACACAGAAAGACAAA